CACGUAGGGCGCAAGCGUUUGUCCGGAAUUAUUGGGCGUAAAGAGCUCGUAGGCGGUCUGUUGCGUCCGCUGUGAAAACUCGGGGCUUAACCCCGAGCCUGCAGUGGAUACGGGCAGACUAGAGGUAGGUAGGGGAGAAUGGAAUUCCCGGUGUAGCGGUGAAAUGCGCAGAUAUCAGGAGGAACACCGAUGGCGAAGGCAGGUCUCUGGGCCAUAACUGACGCUGAGAAGCGAAAGCAUGGGGAGCGAACAGG
rnacentral:rRNA from 1 species